UACAGAGGUGGCAAGCGUUGUUCGGAAUUACUGGGCGUAAAGGGCGCGUAGGCGGCCUUCUAAGUCGGACGUGAAAGCCCCAGGCUUAACCUGGGAACUGCGUCUGAUACUGGAAGGCUUGGAUUCGGGAGAGGGAUGUGGAAUUCCAGGUGUAGCGGUGAAAUGCGUAGAUAUCGGGAGGAACACCAGCGGCGAAGGCGGCUUUCUGGACCAAUACUGACGCUGAGACGCGAAAGCGUGGGGAGCAAACAGGAUUAGAUACCCCCGUAGUC
rnacentral:rRNA from 1 species